CUCUUGCAGAUUUUUGGAUCGAAAAAGGGUAUACCCAUUUAUACUGCAAACAGAUUACAACGUUUUGCCCUUAUUCUGCAACUUUAUGAUUUUGAUAUCGAAUACAUCCGCACCGAUAAUUUUGGAAAUGCUGAUCUACUGUCUAGGCUCAUCAGAACGCGAUCUCAGCCGGAAGAAGAAUACGUCGUAGCGACCAUUGAGUUGGAAAAGGAUGUACGAUCGGUCGCUGUAAAUUCAUUAAGCUCGCUUCCGCUAAACUUCCAGGACGUCGUAUCACACACCCAAGCAGACAGCGUAUUGCGUAGUGUUUAUCGCUACAUUCAACGAGGGUGGCCGCAGCUUUCAGUUCUGGGACAGGAGUUGGCUCGUUACUACCACAGGAGAGAGUCGUUGUCAACGGUAGACGGAAGUAUUUUGUUUGGAGAAAGACUAGUCAUACCGAGAAGGCUGCGGGAGAGAUGUUUGGAGCAGUUCCAUCGCGGGCAUCCAGGUGUGCAACGGAUGAAGGCACUUGCCCGCAGUUACGUGUAUUGGCCGUCCAUGGAUCAGGAGAUAGCUGAAUGCGUUGGUGCCUGUUCAGCAUGCGCAGCAGCAGCCAAGUCGCCGCCACAUGAGAACCCAGUGCCAUGGGUCAAGUCAACUUUGCCGUGGGAGAGAGUACACAUCGACUAUGCGGGUCCUAUCGACGGGGACUAUUUCCUAAUAGUAGUCGACGCUUGUACUAAAUGGCCGGAGAUCAUAAGAACAACAAGUAUCACGACGUCGACAACGGUUGCUAUCCUGCGUGGUCUAUUCGCUAGAUUCGGAAUGCCGACCACCUUGGUCACGGAUAACGGAACUCAAUUCACCAGCGAAGCAUUCCAAGAGUUCUGCAAGGCGAACGGGGUGGAUCACAAAAGGACAGCUGCUUUUCAUCCUCAGUCAAAUGGGCAGGCUGAGCGAUUUGUCGACACAUUUAAAAGAGCUCUGGUGAAAAUAAAGCAGGGAGGAACCACAUUGCGGGAAGCCAUAGACAUAUUUCUCCUUACAUACAGGACGACUCCAAACGCGCAGCUAGAAGACAGGAAAACACCGGCAGAAAAGAUGUUCGGAAGAGUCCUGCGAACAAGCUUCGAACUGCUGCGCCCUCCGACGAAGAUGCCUCAACAGUCUGCUGAACGCGCAAGAAGUUUUGAACCGAACGACAUGGUGUACGCAAAGGUGUAUAGGCGUAAUACGUGGAUCUGGGUUCCGGCAGUUGUUGUUAAAAGAUGUGGGAGUGUAAUGUAUCUAGUCAAAAGCGAUAACCAACGAGUUUUUAGAAGCCAUGUUAAUCAGUUGCGUCGAAGGGUUAUCGCUCGUGAUCGUGGGUUGGUGGACAGCGAUCAUCGCUUACCAUUGGAUGUCCUGCUGGAUUCCUGGAGUUUAUCGUCAUCGUCAUCACCAUCUGUGUCAUCGUCUUCGUCAUCGUCAUCACCAUCUGUGUCAUCGUCUUCGUCAUCGUCAUCAUCGUCUACGUCAUUGUCAUCGUCUUCGUCAUCACCGUCAUCAUUGUCAUCGUCUUCGUUAUCACCAUCAUCGUCUUCGACAUCACCAUCAUCGUCUGCGUCAUCGUCUUCGUCAUCGCCAUCAUCAUCAUCGUCUUCGUCUUCGUCAUCACCAUCAUCAUCUGCGACUUGGAUAUCGGCUAACUCAUCGUCAUCACAAACAGUGCCGUUACAAACUGCGUCGAAGAUUCCAUUACAACAGCAAACGAUAUCCUCGCCGCCUCCUGCUGAAUGUCAACGAAGCGGUGAUCAUCAGGAAGCAGAGCCGGUACCUCCACCUCGCCGCUCUUCGAGGAUUAGAAGAGUUCCGCGAUGGUUCAACGGGUAUCAGCUAUCUUGAAGGGGGAGAUGUUGCGUACGCAGAUGGAUGUCGCACGACAUGGCUCUCCGGGUUGCUCGCGUCGCGCGACAACAUGCGGAGGUGUGCGUGUCAGGUGCGUAAGAGAGGUCAACGCGGGUCACAGCGAACAGCUGACGUGUCCUGCGUCGCUCGGGGACAGUGUGUCGAUAGCGAGCAACGGGUUAACAGCCAAAGUCGGGCAAGCGGGUUUUAACGUGUAAUAAAUGUUCGUUUAAGUUUUAAAGUGUA